AGCAGCCGCGGUAAUUCCAGCUCCAAUAGCGUAUAUUAAAGUUGUUGCAGUUAAAAAGCUCGUAGUUGAAUUUCGAGAUCAAUUUGCUGGUCGUGCCUCGGUACGUACUGGCAAUUUUGAUUUCUCCCUUCUGAAGAACCAUGAUGUCAUUAAUUUGGUGUCAUGGGGAAUCAGGACUGUUACUUUGAAAAAUUAGAGUGUUUAAAGCAGGCUCGCGCUUGAAUACAUUAGCAUGGAAUAAUGAAAUAGGACGUUUGAUUCUAUUUUGUUGGUUUCUAGGAUCGACGUAAUGAUUAAUAGGGAUAGUUGGGGGCAUUAGUAUUCAAUUGUCAGAGGUGAAAUUCUUGGAUUUAUUGAAGACUAACUACUGCGAAAGCAUUUGCCAAGGAUGUUUUCAUUAAUCAAGAACGAAAGUUAGGGGAUCGAAGACGAUCAGAUACCGUCGUAGUC
rnacentral:rRNA from 1 species